AGCAGGAUCAUUCUUGGAAGGAAUACCUGUUUAUUUCUUUCGAAAACUAUCUUUUUUUUUCUGUUUUUUGAAAAAACUGGUCGGGAAUCCUCCUCAGACAGCGGCAGCGUCAAACCUGUUUUUGCUUGGUCUCCUUCUCAUCGGUCCUGUGUCUCGCUUCGGCUUGAGUAUCAGGCUGGUGGGCGGUUGGGUAACACAGAGUGCGGGGGAUGUUGCUCUCCAACCGUUUCAUACAACGCUCAACGAUGGAUAUCUCGGCUUGGUGAUCGAUGAAGGACGCAGCAAAGUGCGACAAGUGUCAUGACUUGCAGAUACCCGAGAGCUGACAAAUUUCUGAAUGCAAAUUGCAGCCAAGUUAACCUGGCUAUGCAAUGCAGAGAGUACUUCGCGUAUGCGCUUACUCUAGGGUUGAGCACAACUUCGGUUGUCACUUCUGGACCUGCAUGAUUGAGUAUGUUGACGUUGGCGCGCAAAAAAAGUGUCGACCGUCCAAGCUCUCCCAUGUUAAAGUCAGAAAACCAUCGAGUUUUCCUGAACAUUUUUUAUAUGAGAAAAGAGUUUAAUCUCUCUUACCCUCUCACCUCUCACCUCUGCAUUGUAGGAGAACCCGCUGAACUUAAGCAUAUCAUUGAGCGGAGGACAAGAAAACAACUGUGAUUCCCUGAGUAACUGCGAGUGAAUAGGGAGGAGCCUAUGCUUGAAUUCGGUGUGGAUGGAACCGGAAACACCGAAAUUGUAGUGCAAGGGUGUGAGAAGGUGCGAGCUAGUCGGAAGAAUCGCUCUGGAACGAGCAACCAAUGAGGGCUAUCGUCCCGUACCCUCCGACGCAGCCGUGCCAAUUUUUCGCUCCCCAAGAGUCGGGCAGUUUGAGAAUGCUGUCCAAAACCGCAGGUGUACUCCUGCGAAGGCUAAAUAUUUCACCAAGACCGAUAGCGAACAAGUAGUGUGAACGAAAGAUGAAAAGUACUUUGAAAAGAGAGUGAAAAGUCCUUGACAUUGUUGGGCGCAAAGGGUAUGAGACCCAUUGUAUGCUUUUGCUGAUCAGCGAGGGCUGUCAACGCGGGUUUCCGGCUUCUGCAGGAGGGACUCUGCAUCCUCGUUUCGGCGUUGGUGAGACCCCUCUGUUGCAGAAAGUUGGAGACUUGGCAGAAUCACUUGGCCGACGCGAUUUGAUUUUGAUUGUGGUUGUGCUGUCGAAGCAUCUUCUCUCGUGGGAGGUCUUCACGGUGCACUCAUUGUCACCAGGUUGCGUCGAGCCAGGGAAUCGUUGACCAUUUAAUGGUCUCUUACCACCCGUCUUGAAACACGGACCAAGGAGUCUACCGAAUGUGCGAGUGUUAUGGUGAUUGAAACCAAACGACGCACAAUGAAAGUAAUGCCUGUGAACCGCGGCGGAGAUCGUCGUUGGCGCAACAGGGCUCGGUCCUUAUCAGAAGAAAGGGAUCUGAAGUUGAGCACAUUCGCUGGGACCCGAAAGAUAGCGAGCUUUUCCUGGGCCGAAGGAAGCCAGGGGAAACCUUGGUGGACGUUCGAAUGCAGUGCUGACGUGCAAAUCGCUUGUCAGAUCUGGGUAAAGGGGCGAAAGACUCAUCGAGCUAUCUAGUAGCUGGUUCCCUC
rnacentral:misc_RNA from 1 species